UCAAACUUCUCUACCUCCUCUAUGCCAGGCACUGUUAGGUAUUGCAAGACAAGAAGUGUACUUUUGUUCAGAGCUUGCCAGUACACUUGAUGGUAAUUUUAAUCACCAGUAACUCUGAACUAUUUCUUUUCUUGAGCCUUUCUAAGAUCACUCGUGUUGAGAAAAUAAACGCAGUUAUAUCUUUAAAAACUAUUUAUGGUGUUUUGAAUGUGCCAGCUUCUAAGCAAUGAGAUAGAACAUAAUCAUGUGACAAAUGACAUGUCAUAACUUUUCAUAUUUUUUGAUAUGGUGAGAGAAUGCCCAGACAGGGACAUUUUUUGGAGAGGAUGGAUAUGAGGAGGAAGUCAUGGAGAGAGGACGGGAGUAAAAAAGAAACUAACAUUAACUCUGUGCCUACAAUCUCCCCGGC
rnacentral:lncRNA from 1 species